AUUGAACGCUGGCGGCAUGCUUUACACAUGCAAGUCGAACGGUAACAGGCCGCAAGGUGCUGACGAGUGGCGAACGGGUGAGUAAUGCAUCGGAACGUGCCCAGUCGUGGGGGAUAACGCAGCGAAAGCUGCGCUAAUACCGCAUACGAUCUAUGGAUGAAAGCGGGGGACCGUAAGGCCUCGCGCGAUUGGAGCGGCCGAUGUCAGAUUAGGUAGUUGGUGGGGUAAAGGCUCACCAAGCCAACGAUCUGUAGCUGGUCUGAGAGGACGACCAGCCACACUGGGACUGAGACACGGGCCAGAAUCCAACGGGAGGCGGCAGUGGGGAAUUUUGGACAAUGGGCGCAAGCCUGAUCCAGCAAUGCCGCGUGCAGGAAGAAGGCCUUCGGGUUGUAAACUGCUUUUGUACGGAACGAAACGGUCCUGGUUAAUACCUGGGGCUAAUGACGGUACCGUAAGAAUAAGCACCGGCUAACUACGUGCCAGCCGCCGCGGUAACAC
rnacentral:rRNA from 1 species